GCUCAUGCCUGUAAUCCCAGCACUUUGAGAGGCUGCUGAGGGAGGAUCACUUGAGCCCAGGAGUUUGAGACCAGCCUGGGUUACAUAGUGAGACCCCUGUCUCUACCAAAAAAUAAAAAAAUUAGCUGAGUGUGGUGAUGCAUGCCUGUAGUCCCAGCUACUCAGGAGACUAAGGAGGGAGGAUCACUUGAGUCAAGGAGCUGGAGGCUGCAGUGAA
rnacentral:lncRNA from 10 species